GCGUGUGCAUCUGACGUCACACACCCGCAUUGUGGUGGCGGGCACCCACAGUUCUGAGGGCGAGAUGGCACCCCUGUUCGGCAUGCAAGGUAGAUGCUCUACCAAUGAGCUAUGAGCCUUCCCCAAGGAGGAGAGGAAGGUAAGGAAGGGUUGUGCCGGGGUGUUGAGAUGAAGGUGAGAAAUUACACCCAGGCUUGCCGAUCAGAAGGUCGGCGGUUCGAAUCCCCGCGAUAGGCUGAGCUCCCGUUGCUCCGUCCCAGCUCCUGCCAACCUAGCAGAUGAAAGGACAUCAAAGUGCAAGUAGAUAAAUAGGUACCACUCGGGCGGGAAGGUAAACAGUGUUUCCAUGCACUGCUCUGGUUUCGCCAGAAGCGGCUUAGUCAUGCUGGCCACAUGACCCGGGAAAACUGUCUGUGGACAAACGUCGGCUCCCUCGGCCAAUAAAGCGAGAAGAGUGCCGCAACCCCAGAAUCGUUCACGACUGGGCUUACUUAACUGUUAGGGGUCCUUUACCUUUUUUAUGUUGAUGCUUGUGGGGAGAAGAUUAUGAAAGGAAGUUAUAGGUCAGCAUUCUCCACUGUGGCGCCCAUGGGCACCCAUGUACUCACAGAGGUCUACCCUGGUGCCUGCAGGUUUCCUGGCCACAGGGCAUGCUGGUUGGGAUUUAUGAGGGUUGGAGCUCCACCACAUUUGGAGGACCACGAGUUCCCCAUCCCUGCUACUAUAGGGUCUUCUGCCCCUUUGGCCUAUAUAUGGCAGUGUGCAAUUUGUGAGCAACCUGCCCUACUGGUCUGACAUGUGGCUCGUCCUUUUCCUGUCUCUGUGGGUCUAAGCAGUCAACGUUCUAAUUCUUUGUGACUUCUUCCAGAAGCCUUUCAUCACACCCCUGCUGGCUCUUUGUUCAGUGCCCACAGAGACACCUACUGGCCAUCAAACAUGCUGCAAGCAACAACAACAAAAAAACUCAUUCUGAACCCAACGUCAAGAUCUGAAGCUGGAUUCCCAAGAUAUCUUAGAACGGUUCAGAGCAAAUGUUCUGGCUCACUGCAACACCAUUACUUUUAAAGGGGGUGGGGGUGGGAGGAAGCCUGUGCAGACUUUGCAGAUGCAACUUGGCAGGCCUAGAGAUUAAAACAACACCCCAGCAGGGCCUUUUUAUGCUACAUCAAUGCACUUCUGAAAAAGCUCCAUAGCUGAAAGCUAUUACAGCAUGAAGUGGCUCCUUCAUCUACCUGCUCCCUCCAGAUGAAAAGACCUGGCAGUUUCUAGAUCCUUUGGAGA